rnacentral:rRNA from 1 species
GAAGGACUUACUCUUCGGAGUGAGAGCGUACACAGGUGCUGCAUGGCUGUCGUCAGCUCGUGUCGGGAGAUGUUGGGUUAAGUCCCGCAACGAGCGCAACCCUUGCCUUUAGUUGCCAGCAGUUCGGCUGGGCACUCUAAAGGGACUGCCGGUGUUAAACCGGAGGAAGGUGGGGAUGACGUCAAGUCCUCAUGGCCUUUAUGACCAGGGCUACACACGUACUACAAUGGCCGAUACAAAGGGCAGCGACACUGCGAGGUGAAGCCAAUCCCGUAAAAUCGGUCUCAGUCCGGAUUGGAGUCUGCAACUCGACUCCAUGAAGUUGGAAUCGCUAGUAAUCGUGGAUCAGCAUGCCACGGUGAAUACGUUCCCGGGCCUU